rnacentral:lncRNA from 10 species
CUUCAGUGUUCAGAAAGCACCAACAUCAAUUAAUGCCAGUGUGAAUCCAGUAGGACAUUUUCUGACCUCUUUAAUCUCUUCCCUCCCCAAACACCAGCUCUAAGUGGUCAGAAAUUACUAUGGUGAACAAGCUGGUGAGAGGAGCAUAUAAGCCUUAGAUGGGGUAAGAGAAGAGAAACCAGCUCUCCUGCCCUGAUGUAAGACUUCCCAUCUGCUACAGAGGAAGGAGAGGAGUCCAAAUUGUAAAGAAAUUUUGAGUUUUGAAAAUUACCUGUUACUGAUCUUUCUAAUUACUGAACUGAGACUGUUUUGUGGUUUAACUUGACUGUAAGACAUUUUAUAUUUAUUAUUAUUAUUUAAGAAAAUGCCAUGAGGCCUGCCAAGGACAGAGAAAUAGUUGUCCCAGAGAUAAAUCUAAAGGGAAAAAGGAAACUAAUAUAAAGUCAUUUUUGGAUUACACUCCCUGAGUUGUGCUUGUUCAACAUAAAAAUUACAUUGACAUUUAUGCUUCUGACCAAGUGUGGACUUCAUGACAUGUUGCGUUCCCCCAGUAGACAGACACUGAGAUGGAAAUUUGCAUACCGAAGGUGGAUUGAGGAUUGUUUAUCUGAAAAAAACAUCUAUGGUGGAGUAAGAAAAAUCACGACUGGGCUAUGGAGAAAGCUGAACUGGGAUGCAGAACAGAAGCUUCAGCCUCACUCGUGGGGAGCUCUGGCGCUAAAAAAACUCAUCGAAGAUUUCCCAAAUUGGAACAAGGCCUCUGUACUCCUGCAUUGACCAGUCAUGGUAUAAAAGCUUCAAUUCACCUAAGCGGGGGUUAUAACAGUGGAUGAGUCAGCUGCCUGAGGCUAUGGAGAAUGCUCAGGGAGGGACUCAGCUGUGAUUAGUUGACAGGCAACACUCCUGGCAGCUGGGAGAAUGAGUGCCUUACUCUUGCCAGAGGGGUCUGGUAUACACACCAUAUCAUCCACUACUAACCAUGUUUAUGUUGCUAAGAUUCACUUGCUUCAUAUAAUAAGUGUACCCCAUCUAGGAACAUCUUCUCUAGAAUUCUGGUCAUCCUCUUGCCUGGAAAAACUUAUAUGAGGAAGGUGACUAGGACUAACUAAAGCCCCUGCUGUUAUAAUUAUUCUUGGAGCUGCAAGUAAUAUUCAUUAUUCCCCUUCUGCACUAAGAUUCUGUAUUCUCCUCAACCACAGCUAGCACCUCUCCUGGUUUAAGUGAUGAUGGGAUGAUCCAGACCAUCAUCCCUAAGGGGUUUGAGCCCCUGGUCUUCAUCACCUUCUUAGUCCAUGGCUUCUGCAUUUUUAUAUUUAGCAUAAAUAUAAGCAAGGGACUAUCGAGAGAGACUCACUGGAUCACCUAGGUGACAAACAUUCUUCCCUAUACCCAUUGUGUGACUGAAGACCUACCUCCUCCUGAUGGCCAGGACACAUUUCCUUGCCUGCUGCUGUUCUCCUAGCCCAGGGAAUCUGAAGUGACAAGGUGGCAGGCAUAAACAAGUCUGACAGAACUAUUGUUAUGUUCCCUGGCAAAAGCAUUGUUUCUCUGGGAGCUCAGAUCUCAGACAUGCCUGAAGUUGUGGGGAAGAGCAGCACAAGUUCCUCAAGUGGGUUCCUGGGAAUGAUAGUAAACAGGGAUACUUCUGCUUCAUGGAUCCAGGUGUCUCCUAUCUAUGGGGAGUACAUCAUGACAUAAAAAUUGUUGAUUUCUACACUAUGGCCUAGAGCAUGGCACUCCAUCCUCCUAGGGCAUUAUCUCCACGCUGGUGACGCUGGUGAUACAACUGAGCCAUUGCAUAACUCAGUCAAUCUUGUAACUUCUAGGUGGUAUAUUAUAUAACCAAUUCCCACUCUUGCAACUCCUCUGCCUAGCUAUUUGUACUUGAUUCUGGAUUCAACUUUUCUAUCCUACGAUGGAUUGCUAGUGAGCCGAUCUAACCUUGACCCAGCUCAUGGUGGGCCGUUCAAGCUGCAUAGUGGCCUAAUCUCCCAUGGACAAGCACUCCAUGUCUGCCAGGAACCAUUAGCAUACCAGGAGCUGUGAAUGGUGCAUCGGUAUCUCUUAUGGAUGUUAUAUGUAUCUAAGUUGUGAUGCUUUUAUUGGGGUUUGCUAUAAACUCCACAUGGCAACUUUUCUCACCACAGAUGCCUCUAAUACUGUAGGAUCUGCUGGGUCAUAUGGGCCAGAUAGCAGAGCUAAUUGCAGGAGAGUCUAAAACUUCUGUAGAGUCCUUUUCUUCUGUAAGCUACACUCAAAGCUGGAAGCUGUCUGUGUUACUUGGCAGAUAAGUAUUCUACCAAAGUGUGGAAUGAGCUACCUCUCUAAUUUAAAGAGGUUUACCAGGCAUUGUGCUUUUCUCUUAGUGGUAGGGUCCGGAAAGUGUAAUAAUUUGUAUUUAUGUUGCAGAGGAUGUCCUAACGUUUUCCAGAUCAAUCAAUUGCUACAAACUUCACUAAUGUGAUCAGUCUCUGAACCUCAAUAGGUUUUUCUCUCACUUUCUGGGGCACAUAUAUAUUACCCAUGACUUGAAUAUACUUGUGACUUCUUGCUCAUCCAGAUUUACAUGAGAUCAUUGGACCAUAUUAGAGGAUGGAAGAGUUAAUAUUGCCCUAAGGCAAACAUGUAAAUAUGUACUGUUGUCUAUCCUAUUUGAACUGACAUUCCCACAUAAUAUGGUUGGCAGGAGUUUUUCUGGAUUUUCCUAAUGUAUCUACUCUAGCAUGUUUAUUUCUCUUAGUCUUCGAUCCCAUGUUGUAUCAUCUAUGGAGCUCUGUCAUUUUAAAUUUACUCAUUGUGGACUAUAGCUUUUUGCAAAAUGCCUAUCAAACAGUAUAGAAGUGUUAACUCAUAUGGUCCUUGCUAGGGUAUAAAAUCCCUUAACAGAGAAAAGUAUUCCUGAGUCAAUAAACUCUCUCAUCCAACUUUUUAUUGUCCUCCUUGAACCAGAAUUCUCAGGAUCCAGUCAAAAACUACUUUAUCGGAUCUUGCCAGUAUAUCUUGGCUAGCUCCUUCAGAUCUUUCAAUGUUAGCCCCUUUUGUCCCAUGGAAAGCUCAGAACUUUUCCAUAUGAGUUAUGCACUUUCACCCUAGUCAUUAGUCUGGUGGCAAGGAGAGGCAGAAGAUAAGUACAGGAGGGGAGAAGGGUACCUGGCCUUGUAAGACAGAGUCUCUGCAUUGUAUUUAAGCUAGUGUGAAGUUCUGGCAUUUAACAAUGAGGAGCAAGACACUUCAGCAGACUCAGAGGAUGCAGGGAGAUAAGGAGUUUCAACAGCCUUAAAAGCAUCAACCCAUUUUUCCUAUCCCAAGGCUCAAGUUCCCUCUACUUUCCAAACAAGGUCAGAGCACAGAAAACUUGCCAGAUUGAGAACUUAACCUUCUCUGGAGUUUUGCCACCGUUUAAAAUUAAGUCCUAUGCAUCACCUUCAGUCUUCUGUCCUUGGCUGCAAGAAAUAAGCAUCCUUUCGUAUGCUAAAAAGGAGUCCUUCUGACUUUUAUAUUUUACAUUAAAUUGGUGAUUAAUCACUUCAUAUUUCAU